AACGUAGGGGGCGAACGUUGUCCGGAAUGACUGGGCGUAAAGGGCGAGUAGGUGGCCUGCCAAGUCAGGAGUGAAAACUGCGGGCUCAACCCGCAGAGUGCUCAUCGAAACUGGCAGGCUUGAGUGCAGGAGAGGGAAGUGGAAUUCCUAGUGUAGCGGUGAAAUGCGUAGAUAUUAGGAGGAACACCAGUGGCGAAGGCGGCUUCCUGGCCUGUAACUGACACUGAGGCGCGAAAGCGUGGGGAGCAAACAGG
rnacentral:rRNA from 1 species